rnacentral:rRNA from 1 species
CCUACGGGAGGCAGCAGUGAGGAAUAUUGGUCAAUGGACGCGAGUCUGAACCAGCCAUGCCGCGUGCAGGAUGACGGCUCUAUGAGUUGUAAACUGCUUUUGUACGAGGGUAAACCGCGAUACGUGUAUCGUGUUGUAUGUAUCGUACGAAUAAGGAUCGGCUAACUCCGUGCCAGCAGCCGCGGUAAUACGGAGGAUCCGAGCGUUAUCCGGAUUUAUUGGGUUUAAAGGGUGCGUAGGCGGUUUGAUAAGUUAGAGGUGAAAUGUCGGGGCUCAACCCCGAAACUGCAGAUAAUACUGUUGGACUAGAGAACAGUUGCGGUAGGCGGAAUGUAUGGUGUAGCGGUGAAAUGCUUAGAGAUCAUACAGAACACCGAUUGCGAAGGCAGCUCACCAAACUAUAUCUGACGUUGAGGCACGAAAGCGUGGGUAGCAAACAGGAUUAGAUACCCCAGUAGUC